rnacentral:rRNA from 1 species
UGGUAAUGCCGGAUGCUCCAGUUGACCGCAUGGUCCUCUGGGAAAGCUUUUGCGGUAUGGGAUGGGGUCGCGUCCUAUCAGCUUGAUGGCGGGGUAACGGCCCACCAUGGCUUCGACGGGUAGCCGGCCUGAGAGGGCGACCGGCCACAUUGGGACUGAGAUACGGCCCAGACUCCUACGGGAGGCAGCAGUGGGGAAUAUUGCACAAUGGGCGCAAGCCUGAUGCAGCGACGCCGCGUGCGGGAUGACGGCCUUCGGGUUGUAAACCGCUUUUGACUGGGAGCAAGCCCUUCGGGGUGAGUGUACCUUUCGAAUAAGCACCGGCUAACUACGUGCCAGCAGCCGCGGUAAUACGUAGGGUGCAAGCGUUAUCCGGAAUUAUUGGGCGUAAAGGGCUCGUAGGCGGUUCGUCGCGUCCGGUGUGAAAGUCCAUCGCUUAACGGUGGAUCCGCGCCGGGUACGGGCGGGCUUGAGUGCGGUAGGGGAGACUGGAAUUCCCGGUGUAACGGUGGAAUGUGUAGAUAUCG